rnacentral:rRNA from 1 species
UACGAAGGGGGCUAGCGUUGCUCGGAAUUACUGGGCGUAAAGGGCGCGUAGGCGGACAGUUUAGUCGGGGGUGAAAGCCCAGGGCUCAACCCUGGAAUAGCCUUCGAUACUGGGUAUCUUGAGUUCGGGAGAGGUGAGUGGAACUCCGAGUGUAGAGGUGAAAUUCGUAGAUAUUCGGAAGAACACCAGUGGCGAAGGCGACUCACUGGCCCGAUACUGACGCUGAGGCGCGAAAGCGUGGGGAGCAAACAGG